rnacentral:rRNA from 1 species
UCCUCGACACCUGAUGGCUUCUACAUCUUCCAAGAAAAAUAUAUUCAGGAUCUUCUUGCUCGUGCUGCUCUUGGUGAUGAGCGCACUGUUGUGACUCCUGUGGAGCUCAACGUUCAGCUUCGUGCCUCUGAUGGUGACCCUCUUCCUAAUCCCACUCGCUAUCGUCACCUCGUUGGCAGCCUUGUCUAUCUUGCUGUUACGCGUCCUGACAUCUCCUAUCCUAUCCACAUCAUGAGUCAGUUUGUUUCAGCCCCCACCUCUGUCCACUAUAGUCACCUCCUCCGCGUUCUACGAUAUCUUCGUGGCAUGAUCUCUCAGCGCCUUUUCUUUCCCUGCUCCAGCUCUCUUGACCUCCAGGCCUACUCUGAUGCUACCUAG